UUGUAAAGACGAUGAACCCGUUUCUUCGUUUUAUAAAGAGUGUGUUUAUCGUCAAUCAACGUCAUACAUUAAUUCUGAAAAAAAUAUUCUUUUGCUCACGUGUUUCAUCUGCAAAAAGAGAUCAAACAAAUCGCAAGAUUUAUCAUUUCAUCGAUUUCCGUCAAACUCUAUCGAUCGACAACAAUGGCUAGAUAUUAUCGAAAAAUCAGAAGAAGUCCCAGGGAAAAGCAACAACCAUUUGUUCGAGACAUUUUGACACUGAAUGUUUUCGUUAUGGACCAGUCGAAGGAAGAAGGUUUCUGAAACCAGGGCCCGUAUUCCGUUCCUGCCUACCGCCAACUGUCGGUUCGAUAAGUGUCGUUGCGCAGGUUUUUCAUAUUGUGUAAAAGCUGCGCAACGACACCGACAAUUGUCGGUAAGCGGAUUUUAGCGGAACAGAAUACGGCCCCAGGGAGUAAACUAACUAUAAAUCUUGAAGUGCUCCAAUAAAUAUUCCGAACACGACAGAAUUUUCUUCUAUACAAACCAGUAAUAUCUCAACCAAUGAACCAGCAUUGCGAUCAAGUAUUGAAAAGUUGGCCACAUCAAAUAAGCGGAAACAAGAACUACCACUGACUGAAAUUAUUGCUAAAAAAAAAGAUUCGACUAACUGAUCUCACAUGGGAAGAACUUUUUGAGUGAUCAAUGGCCUAGUUUACACCGAUCACUUGAUACGCGUAUUAAAUAGUAAAUAACUAGUAAAUAAGUCUGAUUAUUGGCUGAUCAGUUCCAAUAUACUAUAUGAUACGCGUAUCAAAAAAUCGGUGUAAACUAGGCCAUUUGCGAGGAAAAGCUUAUCUCGCGGUAGACACAACAACAACCCGAUUGCCGAGCAGUUUGAGUCUGCAUUCAAAUGGUUAUUGGUUUAUGCAAAAAUCAAAGGCUCAGAUAAAUGCAAAUUGUCUACUUCAAGAUAGCACUUGUUUAUUACAAACUCCCAAAGUUCUCGAUAAGCCGGCUCCUAAAACUCAUGAUAAUGAUAUUGUCGACAUGCAUAAAAUCAGUAAAACUCUUAGGGUUUCUUCAAGCACUUCUUUGGACCAUGACUAUUAUAUACCCUCGGUAUUUAUAAAUGUUAAUAAAACGUACAUUAAUCACAUUAUCGCGUACAUAGCAGGUUUUAUAGCUAAGAGUCUAAGUAAGUCUGUUAAAUGUGUAAUGCGAAUUGCGGAUGUUAAAUGUGGAUUGCGUAAAAUUGCUCAAGUCUGAAAAAUGUUUCUCCGCACAGACUAAGAAAUUUCAAGGUAGAUUAAUGAAAGCUUCGGCUGAUUUAAUAUAAACAUGUCUAAUAGCAGAAGAACGUUUUAGAACGCACAACGUUUUUUAAACUAAAAACAUUUUCAACGUCUUGAUAACAAGUACUCUUGAAUAUAUUCCACCCACUGUGUUUGAGAAUAAGGGAAACUGCGGAGAUGAUCACCGUUUAAAACUAUUUGUUCAAAUUCUAAAAAAGUUUUUUAAAGUUCGAUUACACCACGAAGGAACAUCCAACUUAGAACAACGAGAGCAGUUUAGAAUAAGAUCAAAAUGUAACAAAACUGUUUUAUUUAAAAAUCAAUAAAACUUCUCGAAAUUAAA